rnacentral:sRNA from 1 species
UGCUGUUUUGAGAUCUCUUCAGUCUGUUCCUUGAGUGGGAGUUGGCUGCAAAGCUGCCCUGUUCCGACUUUGCAGCAUAGAUCUCUGUACUGUUUCUUAUUUUUGUUUCUGUGUGUUUGUUUUAAAUGUGUGUGCGCUCAUGGAUUACAUCUACUACAACGAUGUGUAUACCUUUAAUCUGGACACCUUCACAUGGAGCAAGCUGUCCCCGUCAGGGACAGGCCCACACCCAGAUCAGGCUGCCAGAUGUCCGUCACUCCCCAGGGCGGCAUCAUCAUCUACGGGGCUACUCGAAACAGAGAGUUAAGAAGGACGUGGACAGGGGCACGCGGCACUCAGACAUGUUCCUGCUGAAGCCGGAGGACGGGAGAGAAGACAAGUGGGUGUGGACUCGGAUGAACCCUUCGGGGGUCAAGCCCACCCCACGGUCUGGCUUUUCUGCGGCCAUGGCCCUGAAUCACCAGACACUGUUCUUCGGGGGUGUCUGUGACGAGGAAGAGGAGGAGAGCCUGGCGGGCGAGUUCUUCAACGAUCUGUACUUCUACGACGCCACCAGGAACCGUUGGUUUGAGGGACAGCUGAA